rnacentral:rRNA from 1 species
GAUGAACGCUAGCGGCAGGCCUAACACAUGCAAGUCGAGGGAGGAGCCUUCGGGCUUCGACCGGCGUACGGGUGCGUAACGCGUAUACAAUCUGCCUUUCACAUAGGGAUAGCCCGAAGAAAUUUGGAUUAAUACCUAAUGGUAUAUAGGGAUGGCAUCAUUUUUAUAUUAAAGCUGAGGCGGUGAAAGAUGAGUAUGCGUUCUAUUAGCUAGUUGGAGAGGUAACGGCUCCCCAAGGCGACGAUAGAUAGGGGUUCUGAGAGGGAUAUCCCCCACACUGGUACUGAGAUACGGACCAGACUCCUACGGGAGGCAGCAGUGAGGAAUAUUGGACAAUGGUCGGAAGACUGAUCCAGCCAUGCCGCGUGCAGGAAGACGGCCUUAUGGGUUGUAAACUGCUUUUGCAGGGGAAGAAUAAGGACUACGUGUAGUUUGAUGACGGUACUCUGCGAAUAAGCAUCGGCUAACUCCGUGCCAGCAGCCGCGGUAAUACGGAGGAUGCGAGCGUUAUCCGGAAUCAUUGGGUUUAAAGGGUCCGUAGGCGGGCUAAUAAGUCAGAGGUGAAAGCGCUCAGCUCAACUGAGCAACUGCCUUUGAAACUGUUAGUCUUGAAUGGUUGUGAAGUAGUUGGAAUGUGUAGUGUAGCGGUGAAAUGCUUAGAUAUUACACAGAACACCGAUAGCGAAGGCAUAUUACUAACAAUUAAUUGACGCUGAUGGACGAAAGCGUGGGGAGCGAACAGG